rnacentral:rRNA from 1 species
CCCGUUGAUCCUGCGGGAGGUUGCAGCUAUUAGGAUUCGACUAAGCCAUGCAAGUCAGGGGUAGCAAUACACCGGCGUAAUGCUCAGUAACACGUCGAUAAUCUGCCUUUAGGUUCAGGAUAACCUCGGAAAACUGAGGCUAAUACUGGAUAGGGGAAAAACAAUGGAAUCGGUUUUCCUUUAAAGCUUCGGUGCCUAAAGAUGAGUCGGCGGCCGAUUAGGUAGUUGGUGAGGUAACGGCCACCAAGCCAAAGAUCGGUAUGGGCCUUGGGAAAGGUAGCCCAGAGAAGGGUACCGAUAUACGGACCCUAGCCCUACGGGGUGCAGCAGGCGCGAAAACUUUACAAUGCACGUAAGUGUGAUAAGGGAAUCCUAAGUGCUUUACUUUUUGUAAGGCUUUUUCUAAGAGCAAAAAUCUUGGAGAAUAAGUGGUGGGUAAGACUGGUGCCAGCAGCCGCGGUAACCCCAGCGCCACAAGUUGCAAUCGAUGUUAUUGGGCCUAAAGCGUCCGUAGCCGGCUUACCAAAUCUUUUGUGAAAUUGUUGGGCUUAACGUAACAUCGUGCAGAAGACACUAGUUAGCUUGGAACCGGGAGGAGUUGGGGGUAUUUAUAGGGUAGCGGUAAAAUGCAAUAAUCCCAUAAAGACCACCUGUGGCGAAGGCGCCCAACUAGAACGGUUUCGACGGUGAGGGACGAAAGCCAGCAAUCCGGAUUAGAUACCCGAGUAGUCCUGGCUGUAAACGCUGCGAGCCAAGUGUUACAUAUUCUUCGUGAAUAUGUAGUGUUGAAAUGAAGAAGAUAAGCUCGCCGCCUGGGAAGUACGGUCGCAAGACUGAAACUUAAAGGAAUUGGCGGGGGAGCACCACAAGGGGUGCGGCGUGCGGUUUAAUCGAACUCAACGCCGAAAAUCUCACCAAGGGCUACGGCAGGAUGAAAGUCAGAUUAAAGGUCUUACUUGACGAGCCGAGAGGUAGUGCAUGGCCGUCGUCAGCUCGUGCCGUAAGGUGUCCUGUUAAGUCAGGCAACGAGCGAGACCUGUACCUACAAUUGCUAACAGCUCAACUUGAGGACUGAGCACAUUGUAGGGACUGCCUGUGAAAACAGGAGGAAGGUGCAGGCCACGGUAGGUCUGUAUGCUCCGAAUCCUUUGGGCUACACGCGCGCAACAAUGGUAGGGACAAUGGGAUACGACUCCGAAAGGAGAAGUUAUCCUCUAAACCCUAUCUUUUCCAGAUUGAGGGUUGUAAUUCACCCUCAUGACGUUGGAAUCCCUAGUAAUCAGACGUCAUCAUCGUCUGGUGAAUAUGUCCCUGCUCCUUGCACACACCGCCCGUCAAACCAACCGAGCAGGCUUUUGGUGAGGGUUUAUUUUCUUGAUAAAUCCGAAUCUAAGGUCAGUGAGGUGGGUUAAGUCGUCACAUGGUA